GGACUACCGGGGUAUCUAAUCCUGUUUGCUCCCCACGCUUUCGCGCCUCAGCGUCAGUUACGAGCCAGAAAGCCGCCUUCGCCCCUGGUGUUCUUUCUAAUAUCUACGAAUUUCACCUCUACACUAGAAAUUCCACUUUCCUCUCUCGCACUCAAGUCUUCCAGUAUGAAACGCACCUCCUGGGUUAAGCCCAGGGCUUUCACGCCUCACUUAAAAAACCGCCUACGCGCCCUUUACACCCAGUCAUUCCGAACAACGCUAGCCCCCUCCGUCUUACCGCGGCGGCUGGCAC
rnacentral:rRNA from 1 species